rnacentral:rRNA from 1 species
GAUCCUGGCUCAGGACGAACGCUGGCGGCGCGCCUAACACAUGCAAGUCGAACGAGCGAGAGAGAGUUUACUUUUUCGAGCGAGUGGCGAACGGGUGAGUAACGCGUGAGGAACCUGCCUCAAAGAGGGGGACAACAGUUGGAAACGACUGCUAAUACCGCAUAAGCCCACGACCCGGCAUCGGGUAGAGGGAAAAGGAGCAAUCCGCUUUGAGAUGGCCUCGCGUCCGAUUAGCUAGUUGGUGAGGUAACGG